CGAUUGCAUAAUUUCUGGUAGUGGGGGACUGCGUUCGCGCUCUCCCCUG
rnacentral:snRNA from 8 species